CUUGGACCAAUCUCAAUGAUCUACCAUGAGGUAUGAAUUACUACGGUUGGUAGCUCUUUCUGACUCCCAAAGGCACCUGCAUUCAGGCAGAGGAUUCGAAUAGAUAGACCCUUUUCUGGUGGACUUCUUAACUCUAGGUUAGUUUGAAUUCACGACUAGAUAAUAUCAUGAUUAUUGAGCAAAUAAAUUGACUUGUAUGCAUAAAAAUGCAUUUAGUUCUACCUUUGCGAUCAAGAAGCGUCAGCAACUGAGGCUUUCAUGAAAUCACACCAAAUUCUACCUAUAGGAGUACAAUGCUUUCAGGCAAGGAAAGCUGGAGUUUAUUUUCAGUUGUAUGAGAAGCAAAAAGAGAAGAAAAUAGAAGAGAGCUAUAGGAGAAGGAUCUUACCUUGUACUUGUGUUCUGCAAUAAAGUUACAAGCUUGAUUUUAUCAGGUUUGAUAGUCUUGGCAUGUCCAUUGUAAAGGUACCUUCUAUGGCCUAUUAAAAAAUGAGGGAAGUUUCCCCCUUGAGUGGUUACAAA